AACGAACGCUGGCGGCAUGCCUAACACAUGCAAGUCGAACGAGACCUUCGGGUCUAGUGGCGCACGGGUGCGUAACGCGUGGGAAUCUGCCCUUUGGUUCGGAAUAACGGUUGGAAACGACUGCUAAUACCGGAUGAUGACGAAAGUCCAAAGAUUUAUCGCCAGAGGAUGAGCCCGCGUAGGAUUAGCUAGUUGGUGUGGUAAAGGCGCACCAAGGCGACGAUCCUUAGCUGGUCUGAGAGGAUGAUCAGCCACACUGGGACUGAGACACGGCCCAGACUCCUACGGGAGGCAGCAGUGGGGAAUAUUGGACAAUGGGCGAAAGCCUGAUCCAGCAAUGCCGCGUGAGUGAUGAAGGCCUUAGGGUUGUAAAGCUCUUUUACCCGGGAUGAUAAUGACAGUACCGGGAGAAUAAGCUCCGGCUAACUCCGUGCCAGCCGCGCGGUAA
rnacentral:rRNA from 1 species